UACGUAGGGUGCAAGCGUUGUUCGGAGUUACUGGGCGUAAAGGGUGUGUAGGCGGUUCCCUAAGUUUGGUGUGAAAUCUCCCGGCUCAACUGGGAGGGUGCGCCGAAAACUGGGGGGCUAGAGUACUGGAUGGGAGAGUGGAAUUCCUGGUGUAGCGGUGAAAUGCGUAGAUAUCAGGAGGAACACCUGUGGUGUAGACGGCUCUCUGGACAGUAACUGACGCUGAGACACGAAAGCGUGGGUAGCAAACAGG
rnacentral:rRNA from 1 species